ACGCUGGCGGCACGCCUAACACAUGCAAGUCGAACGAAGUAGCAAUACUUAGUGGCAGACGGGUGAGUAACAUGUGGGUAUCUGCCCUUUGGCCUGGAAUAACACGAGGAAACUUGUGCUAAUACCGGAUAAGUCUUUACGGAGAAAGCUUUAUGCACCAUUGGAUGAGCCCGCACUUGAUUAGUUUGUUGGUGGGGUAAUGGCCUACCAAGACUGUGAUCAAUAGCUGAUUUGAGAGGAUGAUCAGCCACAUUGGGACUGAGACACGGCCCAAACUCCUACGGGAGGCAGCAGUGGGGAAUCUUGCACAAUGGAGGAAACUCUGAUGCAGCGAUGCCGCGUGAGUGAAGAAGGCCCUUGGGUUGUAAAGCUCUUUCGUCGGGGAAGAAAAUGACUGUACCCGAAUAAGAAGGUCCGGCUAACUUCGUGCCAGCAGCCGCGGUAAUACGAAGGGACCUAGCGUAGUUCGGAAUUACUGGGCUUAAAGAGUUCGUAGGUGGUUGAAAAAGUUAGUGGUGAAAUCCCAGAGCUUAACUCUGGAACUGCCAUUAAAACUUUUCAGCUAGAGUAUGAUAGAGGAAAGCAGAAUUUCUAGUGUAGAGGUGAAAUUCGUAGAUAUUAGAAAGAAUACCAAUUGCGAAGGCAGCUUUCUGGAUCAUUACUGACACUGAGGAACGAAAGCAUGGGUAGCGAAGAGGAUUAGAUACCCUCGUAGUCCAUGCCGUAAACGAUGUGUGUUAGACGUUGGAAAUUUAUUUUCAGUGUCGCAGCGAAAGCGAUAAACACACCGCCUGGGGAGUACGACCGCAAGGUUAAAACUCAAAUGAAUUGACGGGGACCCGCACAAGUAGUGGAGCAUGUGGUUUAAUUCGAAGAUACGCGCAGAACCUUACCAACACUUGACAUGUUCGUCGCGACUCUAAGAGAUUAGAGUUUUCGGUUCGGCCGGACGAAACACAGGUGCUGCAUGGCUGUCGUCAGCUCGUGUCGUGAGAUGUUGGGUUAAGUCCCGCAACGAGCGCAACCCUCACUUUUAGUUGCCAUCAUUAAGUUGGGCACUCUGAAAGAACUGCCAGUGAUAAGCUGGAGGAAGGUGGGGAUGACGUCAAGUCCUCAUGGCCCUUACGUGUUGGGCUACACACGUGCUACAAUGGUAUCUACAACAGGAAGCAAGACUGCGAGGUCAAGCAAAUCCUUAAAAGAUACCUCAGUUCGGAUUGCACUCUGCAACUCGGGUGCAUGAAGCUGGAAUUACUAGUAAUCGUGGAUCAGCGUGCCACGGUGAAUGCGUUCCCGGGUCUUGCACACACCGC
rnacentral:rRNA from 1 species